UUCUGAAUGUUGCUGGUUUGGAUAUAUUGAGUUUUCAGUGGGCAAAAAAGUGUUGGUAAUACUGAAGGUUUUACAUUUUUCCAUCUCGUCUGAUCCAGUUUAGGAAACGGAAGCCUCAUAAGUGGAGAUGCAGAAGCCUUCAGUUGCUUCUAUGUUACUGACACUUUGAGGUCUUAGCUGCAGCAUGUGGGAUCCAGCUCCGUGACCAAGGAUUGAACCCGGGUUCCCUGGCACUGGGAGCACAGUCUCAGCCACUGCACCACCAGAGAAGUUCUGUCACUAAGUCAUCUCAACCAUCUGUAUUUCUCCAAAGCAGUUUCUAAAGCCCCAGUGAAUUAUUCCAUGUGAAGUGGAGCUAAAAGCACAUCACUCCUCCCUGCUCCCUCAAGAACAUGGAUGGCAGAUUUGUCUUUAAAAGGCAUGCAGGGAAGAAGGUGAAGGAUGAAAAUCCUUUUGAGCACUGGUGGGGU